UUCAGAAUUGAACAUUUUCGUGCCACACGCUGGGCUGCCUUGAACAGAAUGAAGAGAUGUUAUACACAGCUGGAGACAGCUAUCAGGGUACUGGCUUCAUCUUAGAAGAUUUGAUGCAGUGGGUCUCGUGGCAAGUUUGGGUGUCUGCUUUCACUCAAACAUCUCGGGCAGCUGCACAGGACUUUAAUCAGGUGGCAGAACACCACAGAAGAACCAGAAAAGAAAGCAGACAAAAGCGGCCUGCACCACCACCAUCUACUCAAAG